UGGUUAAUUCGACGCAACGCGCUAGAACCUUACCUGGUCUUGACAUCCCGGGAAUUUCCUUGAAAGAGGGAAGUGCCUCGCAAGAGGAGCCUGGAGACAGGUGCUGCAUGGCUGUCGUCAGCUCGUGUCGUGAGAUGUUGGGUUAAGUCCCGCAACGAGCGCAACCCUUAUCAUUAGUUGCUACGCAAGGGCACUCUAAUGAGACUGCCGGUGACAAACCGGAGGAAGGUGGGGAUGACGUCAAGUCCUCAUGGCCCUUAUGGGUAGGGCUUCACACGUCAUACAAUGGUCGGUACAGAGGGUUGCCAAGCCGCGAGGCGGAGCCAAUCCCACAAAGCCGAUCGUAGUCCGGAUUGUUCUCUGCAACUCGAGAGCAUGAAGUCGGAAUCGCUAGUAAUCGCAGGUCAGCAUACUGCGGUGAAUACGUUCCCGGGUCUU
rnacentral:rRNA from 1 species